UACGUAGGGAGCGAGCGUUGUCCGAAGUUACUGGGCGUAAAGCGCGCGUAGGCGGGCUGUUAAGUGAGAGGUGAAAGGCUGGGGCUCAACCCCAUGCAGUGCCUCUCAUACUGGCGGUCUUGAGUGCGGCAGGGAGAAGUGGAAUGGCUGGUGUAGCGGUGAAAUGCGUAGAUAUCAGUCGGAACACCGGUGGCGAAGGCGGCUUCUUGGGCCUUUACUGACGCUGAGGCGCGAAAGCCAGGGGAGCGAACGGG
rnacentral:rRNA from 1 species